CGUACGUCCUUUGACUAUGCGAGGGGCGUGGCGAACGGCUCAGUAACACGUAGUUAAUCUACCCUGAAGAUGUGGAUAACCCCGGGAAACUGGGAUUAAUAUGCGAUAAGGGAAAACUUCUGGAAUGGGUUUUCCUUGAAAAGGGUGAGUAGGCAUGUUUACUCAUUUGUUUCAGGAUGGGCCUGCGACCGAUCAGGUUGUUGGUGGGGUAAUGGCCUACCAAGCCUUCUACCGGUCCGGGCUUUGAGAGAAGGASCCUGGAGAUGGACACUGAGAUAAGGGUCCAGGUCCUACGGGGCSCASCAGGCGCAAAAACUUCGCAAUGUGCGAAASCCCGACGAGGCUACUCCGAGUGUCAUCCGCUGAGGAUGACUUUUACUAAGUCCAAAUAGCUUAAAGAAUAAGGGGAGGGCAAGACUGGUGUCASCCGCCGCGGUAA
rnacentral:rRNA from 1 species